rnacentral:rRNA from 1 species
GAAAUUAUAUAAUAUAAAUUUUUAAUAAAAAUAUUUUUGAUUUUGUUUAUUGUUAAUGAAAAAAUUAUUGUUUAAUGAUAGUUUAAUAAAGUAUAGUGAUAGAAUAAUUAAAUAUUUUGAAAUAAUUUAAAUAAUAUAAAAAGAAAAUUUAAUUUAUUGUACCUUGUGUAUCAGGGUUUAUUAAAUAAUAAUUAUUAAUUUUAAUUUUCUCGAAUUUAAAAGAGUUAAGAAAUUAUAAAUAUUAUUGUGACAUAAAUAUUUAACAUAAUUUUUUAGUAAUGAAACGUUAUUCGUUUUUAAAUUUAUCUAGUUUUUUAAGAAAUAAAUUUAAUUUAGUUAUUUAUUGUUUAAAUUUAAAUAAUUUUUAUAUUUAUAUUUAUAUAAGUAAUUAAUAUCUUAAGGGAUAAGCUUUAAGAUAAAUAAUUGAUAAAUGUAAUUUAAUUUUUAAAUAGUAAAAUUUAUAGAAGUGAAAGUAUUUUUUUAUGGUAGUGUUUUAUAACAAAUUUUAUUUUGAUUUUGAUUUAUAUAUUAUUUUCAAUUAUUUAUUAAAAUUAUUAAUUUAAUUAAAUAGUUAAUGUAAUAAUGAUGAAAUUAGUAUAAAUUUAUGUAAAAUUUAAUUUAUUAAAUUUAGGUUAAGUUAAGGAAUUCGGCAAAAUUAUUUUUCCGCCUGUUUAUUAAAAACAUGUCUUUUUGAUUAUAAUUUAAAGUCUGACCUGCCCUAUGAUAUAGAAAUAUUAAAUGGCCGCGAUAUUUUGAUCGUGCAAAGGUAGCAUAAUCAUUAGUUUUUUAAUUGAGAACUGGAAUGAAAGGUCGAACGAGAAAAAUACUGUCUCAAUUUAAAUUUGAUUAGAAUUUUAUUUUUAAGUAAAAAAGCUUAAAUAAUUUUAAAAGACGAGAAGACCCUAUAGAGUUUUAUAUUUAGUUAUUAUUAAAAAAAUUAGGUAUUAUUUAUUUUUAAUAAUGAUUAAUUAUUUGGUUGGGGUGAUUGAAAAAUUGAAUGAACUUUUUUUAGUAUUAUUACAUUGAUAUAUGAAUUAUUGAUCCAUAAAUUAUGAUUAAAAGAUUAAAUUACCUUAGGGAUAACAGCGUUAUUUUUUUUGAGAGUUCUUAUCGAAAAAAAAGUUUGCGACCUCGAUGUUGGAUUAAAAUUAACUUUUGGUGUAGAAGCUAAUAGGUUAGGUCUGUUCGACCUUUAAAAUUUUACAUGAUCUGAGUUUAAACCGGUGUAAGCCAGGUUGGUUUCUAUCUUUAAAAGUAUAAAAUACUUUAGUACGAAAGGAUCAAGUAUUUUUAAUAAUUAAAUAUUUAAGAUUAUUAUUAAUUUUUUUAAUAAAAAAAAUUACUUUGGCAGAAUAGU